rnacentral:rRNA from 1 species
GUGCCAGCAGCCGCGGUAAGACGGAGGGAGCAAGCGUUGUUCGGAUUUACUGGGCGUAAAGGGCGUCUAGGCGGGCUGGCAAGCCAGGUGUGAAAUCCCCCGGCUCAACCGGGGAUCUGCACUUGAUACUGCUGGUCUUGAGUACGGAAGAGGGAAGCGGAAUUCCUGGUGUAGCGGUGAAAUGCGUAGAUAUCAGGAAGAACACCGGUGGCGAAGGCGGCUUCCUGGUCCGAUACUGACGCUAAAGCACGAAAGCGUGGGGAGCAAACAGGAUUAGAUACCCUGGUAGUCCACGCCCUAA